AGCGAACGCUGGCGGCAGGCCUAACACAUGCCAGUCGAACGAACCUUUCGGGGUUAGUGGCGGACGGGUGAGUAACACGUGGGAACGUGCCUUUAGGUUCGGAAUAACUCAGGGAAACUUGUGCUAAUACCGAAUGUGCCCUUCGGGGGAAAGAUUUAUCGCCUUUAGAGCGGCCCGCGUCUGAUUAGCUAGUUGGUUGAGGUAAUGGCUCACCAAGGCGACGAUCAGUAGCUGGUCUGAGAGGAUGAUCAGCCACAUUGGGGCUGAGACACGGCCCAAACUCCUACGGGAGGCAGCAGUGGGGAAUCUUGCGCAAUGGGCGAAAGCCUGACGCAGCCAUGCCGCGUGAAUGAUGAAGGUCUUAGGAUUGUAAAAUUCUUUCACCGGGGACGAUAAUGACGGUACCCGGAGAAGAAGCCCCGGCUAACUUCGUG
rnacentral:rRNA from 1 species